UACAGAGGGUGCGAGCGUUGUCCGGAAUCACUGGGCGUAAAGGGCGCGUAGGCGGCGCGGUAAGCGUGCGGUGAAAGCCCGGGGCUCAACCCCGGGUCGGCCGUGCGGACUGCCGGGCUGGAGCACUGUAGAGGCAGGUGGAAUUCCGGGUGUAGCGGUGGAAUGCGUAGAGAUCCGGAGGAACACCGGUGGCGAAGGCGGGUCUCUGGGCAACUACUGACGCUGAGGAGCGAAAGCGUGGGGAGCGAACAGG
rnacentral:rRNA from 1 species